rnacentral:misc_RNA from 1 species
GAUGAAGAACGCAGCGAAAUGCGAUACGUAAUGUGAAUUGCAGAAUUCAGUGAAUCAUCGAGUCUUUGAACGCACAUUGCGCCCUUUGGUAUUCCAAAGGGCAUGCCUGUUCGAGCGUCAUUUGUACCCUCAAGCUUUGCUUGGUGUUGGGCGUCUUGUCUCUAGCUUUGCUGGAGACUCGCCUUAAAGUAAUUGGCAGCCGGCCUACUGGUUUCGGAGCGCAGCACAAGUCGCACUCUCUAUCAGCAAAGGUCUAGCAUCCAUUAAGCCUUUUUUUCAACUUUUGACCUCGGAUCAGGUAGGGAUACCCGCUGAACUUAAGCAUAUCAAUAAGCGGAGGA